rnacentral:rRNA from 1 species
UACAGAGGCCACGAGCGUUAGGCGGAAUCACUGGGCUUAAAGCGUGUGUAGGUGGAUGGGUAAGUACCUUGUGAAAUCCCACAGCUCAACUGUGGAACUGCUUGGUAUACUGCCUGUCUUGAGGCACUCAGGGGCGAGCGGAACAGAUGGUGGAGCGGUGAAAUGCGUAGAUAUCAUCUGGAACGCCAAUGGUGAAGACAGCUCGCUGGGGGUGUACUGACACUGAGACACGAAAGCUAGGGGAGCAAACGGG